UUCAGUGGGGGGCUGACAAGGAGCUUUUACCUUCCUGCAGCUCCCUCCUCUCCGUGCAGCUCCUCUGUCAGCUCCGUUCUGUUUACAGUGCAAGUCUCACAAGACUUACACUGGGAGCAGAAUGGAGCUGACUGGGGAGCUGCACGGAGGAGGAGGGAGCUGCAGGAAGGUAAGUAAGAGCUCCCUGUCAGCCCCCAACAGGA